rnacentral:rRNA from 1 species
UACGUAGGGUGCGAGCGUUGUCCGGAAUUAUUGGGCGUAAAGGGCUCGUAGGCGGUUUGUCGCGUCGGGAGUGAAAACACCGGGCUUAACUCGGUGCUUGCUUUCGAUACGGGCAGACUAGAGGUAUGCAGGGGAGAACGGAAUUCCUGGUGUAGCGGUGAAAUGCGCAGAUAUCAGGAGGAACACCCGUAGCGAAGGCGGCACUCUGGGCCGGAACUGACGCUGAGGAGCGAAAGCGUGGGGAGCGAACAGG